rnacentral:rRNA from 1 species
AUGAACGCUGGCGGCGUGCCUAAUACAUGCAAGUCGCGCGAACAGACGAGGAGCUUGCUCCUCUGACGUUAGCGGCGGACGGGUGAGUAACACGUGGAUAACCUACCUAUAAGACUGGGAUAACUUCGGGAAACCGGCGCUAAUACCGGAUAAUAUAUUGAACCGCAUGGUUCAAUAGUGAAAGACGGUUUUGCUGUCACUUAUAGAUGGAUCCGCGCCGCAUUAGCUAGUUGGUAAGGUAACGGCUUACCAAGGCAACGAUGCGUAGCCGACCUGAGAGGGUGAUCGGCCACACUGGAACUGAGACACGGUCCAGACUCCUACGGGAGGCAGCAGUAGGGAAUCUUCCGCAAUGGGCGAAAGCUUGACGGAGCAACGCCGCGUGAGUGAUGAAGGUCUUCGGAUCGUAAAACUCUGUUAUUAGGGAAGAACAAAUGUGUAAGUAACUAUGCACGUCUUGACGGUACCUAAUCAGAAAGCCACGGCUAACUACGUG